ensembl:lncRNA
UGCGAUAUAUAAAUAUUUUGAUAUAAUUUAAUAUUUUGUGUGUAGGUAGUUGAAAAUAACUGAACUGUAAAUGCUCUCCCUGGCUCUCUGCUUUCUCGCGCCUAGGUACAUUUACAUUUUACAUUUAGUCAUUUAGCAGACGCUUUUGUCCAAAGCGACGUACAAGGGAGAGAAUAUUCAAGCUACGAGCAAUAGAACCUGGUGUAACAAUAAAUAAAUACUACUUUACAUAAGAAAUAUAACAAAAUGAAAUAAAAAAGAAAGAAAGGUAAUGUAUAUAGCACUAGGUAAAGGGCAAUAGGUAAUGUAUAUAGCACUAGGCAAAGGGCAAUAGGUAAUGUAUAUAGCACUACUAGGCAAAAGGGCAAUAGGUAAUGUAUAUAGCACUACUAGGCAAAAGGGCAAUAGGUAAUGUAUAUAGGACUACUAGGCAAAGGGCAAUAGGUAAUGUAUAUAGCACCACUAGGCAAAGGGGCAAUCCUGGGCAAUCACUCUGCUUCAUCCAAGCCCUCCCUGAAGGACCCCCCUGAGAUAUGGGCACCUGGCCUGCAUUCACCGCCGCUACGCUACUUGCUGUAAUUUGAAUACGGAUCAG